UACCAGCACCCCGAGUGGUCGGGACGAUUAUUGGGCUUAAAGCAUCCGUAGCCGGUUCUGCAAGUCCCCCGUUAAAUCCAGCUGCUCAACAGAUGGGCCGCGGAGGAUACUACAGAGCUAGGAGGCAGGAGAGGCAAGCGGUACUCAGUGGGUAGGGGUAAAAUCCGUUGAUCCAUUGAAGACCACCAGUGGCGAAGGCGGCUUGCCAGAAUGCGCUCGACGGUGAGGGAUGAAAGCUGGGGGAGCAAACCGG
rnacentral:rRNA from 1 species